GAUGAACGCUAGCGGCGUGCCUAAUGCAUGCAAGUCGAACGGGAUCCUUUGGACUCGUCUGAAGGUGAGAGUGGCGAACGGGUGAGUAACACGUUGGUGACCUGCCCCAGAGAGGGGGAUAACCAUUGGAAACGAUGGCUAAUACCCCGGAUGUCAUUACUGUUAGAGGGUAAUGACUAAAGCUCCGGCGCUCUGGGAGGGGCCUGCGGCCCAUCAGCUUGUUGGUAGGGUAAUGGCCUACCAAGGCAAAGACGGGUAGGGGGCGUGAGAGCGUGACCCCCACACUGGUACUGACACACGGACCAGAUACCUACGGGUAGCAGCAGCAAGGAAUAUUGCCCAAUGGACGCAAGUCUGAGGCAGCAACGCCGCGUGGAGGAUGAAGGCCUUCGGGUUGUAAACUCCUUUUCUGGGGGAAGAGAAAGGACGGUACCCCAGGAAUAAGUCUCGGCUAACUACGUG
rnacentral:rRNA from 1 species